rnacentral:lncRNA from 1 species
CAUUUUUUUACAUAAAUAAGGCCGUUAGUUUUCUCGUUUGGAUUGUUUUACAUUGUCUUAUCGGGGCCUAUUAUAGCUGACUAUGUGGUAUGGGCUUUGCUCAUUGUUGAAGGCCGUACGGUGACCUAUAGUUGUUAAUGUCUGUGUCAUUUUGGUCUUUGUGGAUAGUUGUCUCAUUGGCAAUCAUACCACAUCUUCUUUUUUAUAU